CUAUACAGCGCUGCAGGCGCCAGUUAACGAUCCGGCGCCUGCAGCGCUAUUAGCAUGGGCCGGCCCACUAGCGUGCUGCCGUAAGUUUUUUUUAGUUUUUUUAACGAAAAUAAAAAUAUGAAAUGAAGAAAGGUUUACAGAUUUAAAGAACAAAAGUUCAUCCAUUUGAAAAAAUAUGUUCAUAUCUUUAAAAAGGUUCAUAAAUUUUGAAAAACUUCAUCAAUUUGAAAAAAAGUUCAUCCAAUUUAGCAAAAGUUCAUUAAAUUCGAAAAAAGUUCAUAGAAGUUGAAAAAAAGUUCAUGUGUUUUUAGAAAAAAUUCAUGGAACUUAAAAAGAAGUUCAUAAAUAAAAAAAAGUUCAUCCAUUUUCAAGACAUAUGUUCAUUAAAUUUCAGAAAAGUUCAUUCAUAUUCAAAAAAGUUCAUCUAUCUAAAAAAAGUUCAUAGAAUUUUUUAAAAAAAUCGUCUACCGGCGCCUAGAUGGGCCGGCCCAUUUACGGACGCCACAGGCGCCAGUUAACAAAAUGCACAUUAACUGGCGCCCGUGGCGCCAAAUAGGAAACCCCGUUUGUAACGGGCACUGCUAUUUGUUGCGUUCAGCGAGCAGGGUGCUGGGCUCGCGUCAAAGGGAUCCCCUGACGGGCCGGCCCAGCAGCACGGGAGCCACAGCUUGUCUUUCUGUUUUUAUUUACUCUAUGUUUCUUACUUGUUUUCUGUAGCUAUGGUUUGCCCUGUUUGUCGUUGUCUGGGUGCCCCUUGUGUACCAUUGGCGCCAGAUCAUGAAGUCCCUGAAGUUUUUGAUGUUGUCCUUGAUGAGGAUUGCUUCAGGAGAAUGGCAAUCUUCCUCUGCAUCACUUUCAUUCUCACCACUACUGCAAUCCAGAUGUCCAGAAUCAACCAGAAGCUAACAUGAAGACUGAUUAAAGGAAGAGGUGGUGGGGAUCAUCUUUUACCUUGCAAAUUCAUGAAGCAGGUUCUUCUCCAGGGCGUUUGGUGGAGAAGGACUUUGCAAGGAAGAAAUUUAGCACAAGAUCUAUAGAGAGUUCAAAAGAGAUAAACACAUCUCAGGUUUGUUUCGGCGUCCAUGGCGGCGGCUGAGUCUUUGCGGUGUCGGGGAUGAAAGUGGAGGAAGAAGACCUAGUGGCUCUGCGCGUUAGGUGGAUUCUGUAUAGUGGGUUUGUCUCUUAGCGGGUUCAGGCCCGUUUUAGUUUUUGGCUGAUGACUGAAGGCAGAAAUAUAAAGUCAGAACUCUUUUUUCAGCCCGUUUGACUGCUGGCCUUUUUCGACUGACCACAACUUUGGGUCAGUUAAUUUGUUCUGAAUAGUUAUGUUUCCUUACCUUCUACAAAUCAACUGACCCCUUUCUUGAGUCA